AGCAGCCGCGGUAAUUCCAGCUCCAAUAGCGUAUAUUAAAGUUGUUGCAGUUAAAAAGCUCGUAGUUGAAUUUCGGGAUUUGUCAGUUGGUCGGGCUUCACUGUCCGUAUUGACUUGAUGGAUUCUUACCUUCUGAAUAACCAGCAUGCUAUUAAGUUAGUGCGUUGGGGAAGCAGAUCUAUUACCUUGAAAAAAUUAGAGUGCUUAAAGCGAGCUAGUGCUUGAAUAGAUUAGCAUGGAAUAAUAAAAUAGGACGGCAUGGUUCUAUUUUGUUGGUUUCUAGGAUCACCGUAAUGAUUAAUAGGGAUAGUUGGGGGCAUUAGUACUCAAUUGUCAGAGGUGAAAUUCUUGGAUUUAUUGAAGACUAACUUCUGCGUAAGCAUUUGCCAAGGAUGUUUUCAUUAAUCAAGACGAAAGUUAGGGGAUCGAAGACGAUCAGAUACCGUCGUAGUCUUAACCAUAAACUAUGCCGACUAGGAAUCGGAUGAUGUUAAUUUAUAAUGUA
rnacentral:rRNA from 1 species